AGCCAUAUCACGUUGAAACCCAGGUUUUCGUCUGAUCACCGAAGUCAACCGACAUCGAGCCAGGUCAGUACCUAGAUAGGCGGCCGCUUGGGAAUACCAUUUGAUG